CUGGGGGGACUCUGACUUACAGAGGGUUGAUCCAAAGCCCAGAAAGCUCCACUACAGAAAUACAAGUGGAUGUUUAUUGGAAAUCAAUAAGAAUGGUCACGGUAUUCACGUGGAUAGCAAGACCCUGGCAGUAAUUACAAGGCCAUCCACAGGAUGAUGGCUGAAUGAAUGAUGACCAGUGUUGUCCACGUCAGGAGAGAUGAUUUAAUCAGGAGGAAGAGUAAGGAAGGCUUCUGUGUAUUGAAUUAGAAAAAUUUUCACUGUAUAUUUUAAAAGGAAGGAAAAAAGCCUCAGAACCAUGUAUAUUAAAUGUCCCUAUUUUGUGGAAAAAAUGAAAAGCAGAAAUCUCUCAGUGCGAAUCUACUACUCCUUUCUGUCUGAAGAGGGAGAAGAGCUCUCUUUGGGAUAAGAGAAAAUGUAGGGAAGAUUCACACUUAACCUUCUGGAUGUGGUACCCACAGCCUUUUAAAAGAGAAGACAUCAAGACUCAUUCAGUGUGUAUGUCUUACACACCAUGGAACCAGCCAGAGAUCGUUGCAUAAUUUAACAUCAUAAAGAAAAGAUCUCCUGGAUCACAGCAGUCACUCAUCUACAGGCACAAAAACAAGGGAGUUGGAUAAUGCUAUUUCCUCCCCUUCCUUCCUUCUUCUCACUUGCCUGUAUGUAUUUAUCAACAUGUCUACAAUAACAAUUUGCUGCAUUUGGAAAA